rnacentral:rRNA from 1 species
AGAGUUUGAUCAUGGCUCAGAUUGAACGCUGGCGGUAUGCUUAACACAUGCAAGUCGAGCGGUAACGAUGGAAGCUUGCUUCCAGGCGACGAGCGGCGGACGGGUGAGUGACGCGUGGAAAUCUGCCUACUAGCGGGGGAUAGCCCGGAGAAAUCCGGAUUAAUACCGCAUACGCCCUACGGGGGAAAGCUGGGGAUCUUCGGACCUGGCACUAGUAGAUGAGUCCGCGUUAGAUUAGCUUGUUGGUGGGGUAAUGGCCUACCAAGGCGACGAUCUAUAGCUGGUCUGAGAGGACGAUCAGCCACACUGGGACUGAGACACGGCCCAGACUCCUACGGGAGGCAGCAGUGGGGAAUAUUGCACAAUGGGCGCAAGCCUGAUGCAGCAAUACCGCGUGUGUGAAGAAGGCCUGCGGGUUGUAAAGCACUUUCAAUAGUGAAGAAAAGCCUGGUAUUAAUACUACCGGGUCUUGACGUUAACUAUACAAGAAGCACCGGCUAACUCCGUGCCAGCAGCCGCGGUAAUACGGAGGGUGCAAGCGUUAAUCGGAAUUACUGGGCGUAAAGCGUGCGUAGGCGGCUUAUUAAGUCAGAUGUGAAAGCCCCGGGCUUAACCUGGGAACUGCAUUUGAUACUGGUAAGCUAGAGUAUGGUAGAGGGGGGUAGAAUUCCUAGUGUAGCGGUGAAAUGCGUAGAUAUUAGGAGGAAUACCAGUGGCGAAGGCGGCCCCCUGGACCAAUACUGACGCUGAGGUACGAAAGCGUGGGUAGCGAACAGGAUUAGAUACCCUGGUAGUCCACGCUGUAAACGAUGUCAACUAGCCGUCGGGACCUUGAGGUUUCGGUGGUGCAGCUAACGCGUGAAGUUGACCGCCUGGGGACUACGGCCGCAAGGCUAAAACUCAAAUGAAUUGACGGGGGCCCGCACAAGCGGUGGAGCAUGUGGUUUAAUUCGAUGCAACGCGAAGAACCUUACCUACCCUUGACAUCCUCAGAACUUGUAAGAGAUUACUUGGUGCCUUCGGGAAUUGAGUGACAGGUGCUGCAUGGCUGCCGUCAGCUCGUGUCGUGAGAUGUUGGGUUAAGUCCCGCAACGAGCGCAACCCUUAUCCUUAGUUGCCAGCACAUUAUGGUGGGAACUCUAAGGAGACUGCCGGUGAUAAACCGGAGGAAGGUGGGGAUGACGUCAAGUCACCAUGGCCCUUAUGGGUAGGGCUACACACGUGCUACAAUGGCCAGUACAGAGGGCCGCGAACUCGCGAGAGUAAGCAAAUCCCAGAAAGCUGGUCGUAGUCCGGAUUGGAGUCUGCAACUCGACUCCAUGAAGUUGGAAUCGCUAGUAAUCGUGAAUCAGAAUGUCACGGUGAAUACGUUCCCGGGCCUUGUACACACCGCCCGUCACACCAUGGGAGUGGGCUGCAAAAGAAGUGGGUAGUUUAACCUUCGGGAGAACGCUCACCACUUUGUGGUUCAUGACUGGGGUGAAGUCGAAACAAGGUA